rnacentral:lncRNA from 9 species
UGCUCCCUGGUAUGGCUUCAUCACACUCUUCAAGAAGCAAACAGAAUUGAUGUAAAAAAUAUAUUUAUACAAAAACCUGAAUUAAAUAGAAGAACAAGGGAAAGAAAAAGCCAUUGAGAACUAUGUCUAGAUACUCAUGUUGCAACAGAAGAAAGGGUGGGGGAAAAAUGUAAUUGCAAUGUAUACAUGUAAGGAUAACCCGACCCCCUUGCUGUACAGUGGGAAAAUAAAUAAAUAAAUAAAUAAAAAGAAAAAGCUCCCUCUUCUUUCCUAGCAAGGACUCAGACCCUGAAAAGUGCUUGCCCCUCUAUAAAAGCAUUUUCCCUUUGCCAUGACCAAGGCUGCAGACAGGGAAUGGCAAUUCUCUGCUGAUCCCAAGUAAACCCCUAUUUCCUGGAGAAAUAUUCGGCAGUCUGUUUAUUUCCAGUCAGCAAUACGGAGAAAGGAAAUGCAACAUCUUUUAAUACUGAGUUCUCUGGUUUACAAAAGAUAAUAGUGAUACCAGCUGGGCUUGGGAGGAACUUGUAAUCCUGUGAAGGUUUUCACAGGUUGACUUGCUUUCUUUUUGCUCUAAGCCAGGAAACUUCCAUGUAGCCAGUCUCACCCACAAAGUUCCAUUUUCUUGAAUCUGCAAAGCCCAUGUUCAAGGGAAUGUUUUUUGUUGUAAGCACUCUCAUUUAAAAAGUGAUCAGCAUAUAUCCUCUCAAAAACGAAAAUCACCUCGAAACCCACCUUUUGAAACCAGUGUUUCCAGACUGUAGCGAUCUAGAGGGAUGACAUUUCCAUUGUCAUCUCUCAUUCCCAAAUGCCAUGCUGCUGCUAGGGGUGGAGUAAACAGAGCCAGGCUCUCUUGGGUGGACAUGUGAUGCUCUCCAAGCAAAUGGUCAGGAAAAGAACCAGGUGAUCUUAGUCUCUGGUUGGUUGGCUCCUAGUAGAGUUUCUAGUUCUAAGAAAUAGACCGUUAAAGAUGCUAACAUUUUUAGGUGAGAUGAUGGUAUUAGGGUUUUAUCUUUUUAAAUGAUUUUUUUUGGGGAAAUACUUAAUGAUUUAUGGAUUACAACGAUGAUGGGAAAAUGCUUAAAAAUAGUUCUGAGGAAAGGUCAUGGCUGAAAUCAAGCUGGCCAUGAGUUGAUAAUUGUUUGAAACUGGUGAGAAUUACAUCAAAGUGUGUGUAUGUGUGUGUGCUAAUGGCAAUGGUCCAGUAGAGUUGGAGGAAUGGAUGGCCAAGGAGAGAGAAGAAACACCCUAAGAAGCCAACCACUCAAGGGCAUGACAGGUCAGGAGGUAGAUUUCAGAGACCAGACACGCACAAAUAAUCACUAUAAACUCAGUCUGAAUCUUGAGCAUAUUGAAAACACCCCCCCUCCACCCUGGUCAUUUUGCCAGAUGGGGAGACAUUUAGAAGAUGAGGAAGGAUGUUUCUAUGCCAUAUUCAUUUAUACUUUGGCUAAAUUUUGCUCGUGAUGCACCUGCUAACAUACUGGGAGCCACACUGGACUUGUUUUGCUCCUUUAAAUGUCAAGGGUUUUGGAAAUUUUGAACCAAUUUGCUUUUGCUAAAUCUUGACCUUAUAAGGCUGCUAUUGGGGCCAACAUAGUCAGAGAUUUUAUAAUAACAUUUCAACUGAUGUCACUUUCUUACUCUCCCUCAAAAUAAUGAGUUACAUGGAACUCUACUGUUUCUCAUUAGGUCACGGGUGGGUGAAGCGUUCAAGCUGCUAUCACUUUUUCCAAAUAAUUUCACUCAUACUGACUCCUAAUUUAUCUACAGUAUUAUGUAGCAACCGAAUAAAUAGUCUCCUCAAGAAAGCAUCCUCUCCUUGGCUGUUCCAUAAAACUGUGCUGACUCAUUUGUAGUUGGACCUGAAGAAUGUUUCAAACACAUGAAGCCAAAGGAGCCAUGCUUUGUCUGAGCCAUUCCCCUGCCCUCCUGCCCCUACCAACAGCAGAAGUGCACAAGAUUUGCUUUGGGUUUGCAGGAUCCUGGCAAGUGAGGACCUUUAGCAUGACUUUGGCACCCAUUUCUAAAGAAUACACUCUACAAGUUAAAAGACUCCUUUGCUGUUUGUUUUUCCCAGAAUCCCUUUUUUUUUUUUGAAGUAUAGCUGAUUUACAAUGUUGUGUCAAUUUCUGCCGUACAGCAAAGUGACCCACUCACAGACACACACACAUAUAUAUUCAUACAUAUAUUAUUUUUCUCAUAUUAUAUUCUAUCAUGUUGUAUCCCAAGAGACUGGAUAUAGUUGCCUGUGCUGUACAGUAGGACCUGGUUGCUCAUCUAUUCUAAAUAUAAGAGUUAGCAUCUGCUCACCCCAAAGUCCCCGUCCAUCCCACUUCCUCCCCUUUCCCCUUGGCAACCACAGGUCUGUUCUCCGUGUCUAUGAGUCUGACUCUAUUUCGUGGAUAGGUUCCUCUGUGCCAUAUUUUAGAUUCCACAUAUAAGUGAUAUUCUAGUGUUUGUCUUUCCUUGACUUCACUUAGUAUGAGAAUCUCUAGUUGCAUCCAUGUUGCCACAAAUGGCAUUAAUUCAUUCUUUUUUAUGGCUGAGUGGUAUUCCAUUGUAUAUAUAUGUACCACAUCUUCUUAACCCAUUCAUCUGUUGAUGGACAUUUAGGUUGUUUCCAUGUCUUGGCUAUUGAAAGUAGUGCUGCUAUGAACCAGACUUCCUUUAAAUCUGUAUGGGCAAGGGGUAAUAUGGAGGCUACUCAGGUGGGUAAAAGCCUGAGUGGAGAUCAGAGCCCCCACAUCCAAUAAUAGAAACAUCGGUGGCAGAAACAACACUAUGAGAUUUGAAACUACACAUACACCUUAAGAAUCCAAAUAAAUAACAAUAAGCUGGAACUCAGUUUGCAGGAGAACCCUUCUGACAAAAUCUUGCUAAGUUGAAAUUCGAAUGCACAUAUUUCCAACUGAAUUCUUCUAUUACUUAUCCCAGAUGCGAUGACUUUAACUGACAGGAGGCUGGGUAUUUGAACUUGGCCUCACCUGUGCUUCUAUUUUCAUACUCGAUUAUCUAAUGUAUUCAAAUCUACUCUGCAUGGUGUGGCCUACAUGUGUGUACGAGUGGUUACUCAUUAAAAUCAUGCCCAGUAGACUACACCAAAGUCAGUCCGUGGCUUAUUGCCAAUGGCAUUUCCCUGCCUUGAUGGGAAAUUCCAGCCUUCAGAAGACAUGCCUUUUAAGAGUUCAUGGGAGGCGGGAUUUACCUAGAGUUUCAGGAAAGAAAGCUAGUAAGCCAAUCCAUCAACUCCCCACAAUGAACCCAGGACAUAUGGGACACAGGAUCUUGGGCAAGGGAGAAAAACUUGCCAUUCUACUAUGUGUCUCGUUAGCACGAGGAUUAAUUUAGGCUCAUUAUUUUUAAGAAACAGAAGACUCAGGCAGUUUUCUUUUUAUCCCCACCCCCACCCACCUAAACAGUUUAGAGAGCAGGCUUGCUUCCAGCCUAGAGCAGUCACCAGAAGCAUCUUCAAAGAACAAGGGGCCAGGUGUAGAGGGGGGAGCUGGGUGGCCUAGAGAUCAGAGACCACUAGGUGUCCCAUUAGUGUCCACAGGACCCAGCAAACAUUUGUUUACCAAACAUAAGGAGAUGCUUUUCCAUCUCCAUGUGAAUUGCCUUCCUCCCCUUUGAAGUCUCCAUCUUCUACCCCCAACAUCCUCUUUUGUCUUCAGCUGAAGAUGGUAUUUAAGGGCGGGUGCUUUGGCCAUUUUGGUGAGGGACUCAAUUUUCCUGGGUGUAUCCCAUGUGUACUUGUUAUUAAACUUCUGUUUGACUUUCUCCUGUUCAUCUGUCUCAUGUCAAGUCAAUUCUUAGACCAGUGAGAAGAACCUAGAAGGGGAGAAAAUGUCUUCUUCCCUGACCCUUGUAACCACUGUAUCUGUAGAUCCUGUCAGGUCGGGGUAUUAACAUGCCUUGUGUGAUAGUGCAACUCAAAGUUCUGUGCAAAGGUCUCAGUUUUGUAUAGACUUCCUUUAUGAAUGCUGAACCAGGAUGUGGACACGUGGUUUUUACAUGUAUACACAUUUACUUCAAGCGUGGGCUAAAGGGUAGAAAAAAAGGAUGCUUUACAGGUUGGUGUUGGGAGUGAAAUAAAUUGUAUGAUCAUGCCACCAAUGAGGUGGUUUCUGAUAAAGUGAUUCUUUACGAUACUAAGAUAUCUCUGCCACUUCCCCCCGGGAACACAAAGCAUUAAUCUAUGGAUAUGAGUAGAAGUCACGGAUCCUUAUGUAAGCAUCGAUUCCCUAUUCUAAUUUGCAUUUUGGACCAUUUUAUAGAAAAUGGAAUGAAUUUACUUUUGGACAAAACAUCCAGCGUAGUAAAAAGAACUGGAACCAAAUGAUUGCUGGUUUAAAAAAAUAUAUUUCCGAGGCUUUUUAUAGGCUUUGUUUCAGAGUUUUUCAAAGCCCGUGAUCUGGGUGCCUGCAGGGAGAAGCUGACUCCUGCUGUCUGUGGCUUGGCUGCAGAGGCAGCAUAUUCUACGGGUAUAUUUUAGCCAUUUUUAAGCUGAGAUGAAUAGGCUAUUUGAAGUGAAGAGAGGACUGGUAGUUCCUGUUGGAAUAAAAGGAUCAUAAAUCCGUUCCUGCCAAACUGUGAACACAGUCAGACAAUGCUCCGAAGGGCAAUUUUUAUUUGGUAAUUACCGUCUUUGUUCAGAAGCUUUGCCAAUGCUGAUUGAAAAUCUCCCAGAACAAAAUAGUCAAAAGAUACAGCUCUCUCAUUAGCCUAAACUGCGUUUGAAUUAUUCCUGCCUUUUGUGACAUUCUGGUGUUCUUUUUAGACAAAGCGUUAAUGUGUCUUUUAAUUUGUGUAUUUAAAUUCAAGUGGGAUGGGAGGGGAUUGCUAUUGCCUAUUUUCCUAAGCUUGACUGGAGGGGGCCUUCGGAAUGAGACCAACAAACUUUCCCCUCUAGAGCUCUGCACUUAGGGCUGAUUCCUGAAAGGGCAGGAAUCAGCAAACAAGUCCAAUGGCUACUGAAUCUG